GAUUUGUCCAAUGAGAAAGGAUAUUCACCAAGAAGCCACACACCAGACAGAUGGAUGGAGCUAUGUAAUCAUUGAGGGAAGCAUGCGAUCCUCUCCCUUCACAAACCGCCAUGAGGAGCAGAACCAACGGCCUUUUGUCUGCGCUUAGAAGUGACUGUCAAGUUCAGAGGCUGAAUAUGUAUGAAGCGCCUCACAUGUAUGUAGGAGUGGAGCACUCUUAGACAGCAGGGUGUUGACAUCAUACAGAUGCUUUCCCAAGACAAGGUGAUGUUUCAUUUGUAUUGAAGUGGCAUUGUUUGUAAGUCUUCUACUGAGAAAUUUCAAUGUAUUAACCA